UCGAGGGGCAGCAUGGUCUUAGCUUGCUAAGGCCGAUGGCGACCGGCGCACGGGUGAGUAACACGUAUCCAACCUGCCGAUAACUCCGGAAUAGCCUUUCGAAAGAAAGAUUAAUACCGGAUAGUAUACGAAUAUCGCAUGAUAUUUUAUUAAAGAAUUUCGGUUAUCGAUGGGGAUGCGUUCCAUUAGUUUGUUGGCGGGGUAACGGCCCACCAAGCCGACGAUCGGUAGCCGACCUGAGAGGGUGAUCGGCCACAUUGGGACUGAGACACGGCCCAAACUCC
rnacentral:rRNA from 1 species